rnacentral:rRNA from 1 species
AGAGUUUGAUCCUGGCUCAGGACGAACGCUGGCGGUGUGCUUCACACAUGCAAGUCGAACGAGGUAGCAAUACCUAGUGGCGGACGGGUGAGUAACGCGUGGGAAUCUGCCUUAAGAUGGGGGAUAACGGGCCGAAAGGCUCGCUAAUACCGCAUAUGCCGAAAGGUGAAAGGAGUAAUCCGUCUUAAGAUGAGCCCGCGUCCGAUUAGCUAGUUGGUAGGGUAAAGGCCUACCAAGGCGACGAUCGGUAGCUGGUCUGAGAGGAUGAUCAGCCACAAUGGGACUGAGACACGGCCCAUACUCCUACGGGAGGCAGCAGUGGGGAAUUUUACGCAAUGGGGGAAACCCUGACGUAGCGACACCGCGUGAGCGAAGAAGCCCCUUGGGGUGUAAAGCUCUGUCAGCUGGAACGAAAAAAAUGACGGUACCAGCAGAGGAAGCAUCGGCUAACUACGUGCCAGCAGCCGCGGUAAGACGUAGGAUGCGAGCGUUGUCCGGAUUUAUUGGGCGUAAAGAGUUCGUAGGUGGUUUGUCAAGUCUGAUGUUAAGGAUCGGGGCUCAACCCUGGGACUGCAUUGGAUACUGGCAGACUUGAGUGUGGUAGAGGCUAGUGGAAUUCCCAGUGUAGCGGUGAAAUGCGUAGAUAUUGGGAAGAACACCGGUGGCGUAGGCGACUAGCUGGGCCAUAACUGACACUGAGGAACGAAAGCCAGGGUAGCGAAUGGGAUUAGAUACCCUGGUAGUCCAA